CCUACGGGAGGCAGCAGUGAGGAAUAUUGGUCAAUGGACGAGAGUCUGAACCAGCCAAGUAGCGUGAAGGAUGACUGCCCUCUGGGUUGUAAACUUCUUUUAUAUGGGAAUAAAAUGUUCCACGUGUGGGAUUUUGUAUGUACCAUAUGAAUAAGGAUCGGCUAACUCCGUGCCAGCAGCCGCGGUAAUACGGAGGAUCCGAGCGUUAUCCGGAUUUAUUGGGUUUAAAGGGAGCGUAGGUGGAUUGUUAAGUCAGUUGUGAAAGUUUGCGGCUCAACCGUAAAAUUGCAGUUGAAACUGGCAGUCUUGAGUACAGUAGAGGUGGGCGGAAGUCGUGGUGUAGCGGUGAAAUGCUUAGAUAUCACGAAGAACUCCGAUUGCGAAGGCAGUUCACUGGACUGCAACUGACACUGAGGCUCGAAAGUGUGGGUAUCAAACAGGAUUAGAUACCCGAGUAGUC
rnacentral:rRNA from 1 species